GCUUAUUCUCAGGGCGGGGUGCAAGUCCCCACCGGCGGUAAACCACAGAACAACUUGAUGAAACACUCUUUCAUCAUCGUGGAAGCCCGCGAGCGCUUAUGUUUCUAAAUUAUGGAAAUAUAAGGUCAGCAGAUCCGGUGUAAUUCCGGGGCCGACGGUUAUAGUCCGGAUGGGAGAGAGUAACG
rnacentral:ncRNA from 2 species